rnacentral:rRNA from 1 species
AACCUGCCUUACGGUAAGGGAUAGCUGUGGGAAACCGCAAUUAAUACCUUAUACGCCCUCCGGGGGAAAGAUUUAUUGCCGUAAGAUGGGCCCGCGUUAGAUUAGGUAGUUGGUGGGGUAAAAGCUCACCAAGCCUAUGAUCUAUAGCUGGUCUGAGAGGAUGAUCAGCCACACUGGGACUGAGACACGGCCCAGACUCCUACGGGAGGCAGCAGUGGGGAAUAUUGGACAAUGGGGGAAACCCUGAUCCAGCGAUGCCGCGUGAGUGAUGAAGGCCUUAGGGUUGUAAAGCUCUUUCACCUGUGAAGAUAAUGACGGUAGCAGGAGAAGAAGCCCCGGCUAACUCCGUGCCAGCAGCCGCGGUAAUACGGAGGGGGCUAGCGU